rnacentral:lncRNA from 1 species
AGAACUUUGAAAAGCCUCAUCCAACUACAUGGUCUCCUGAACCCAUUCCACAUCACCCUGGAUUCUAUGGCCAUUAUUUCCUGUUUUCAUCCAGUCUUGGUUUUCCCCAUUAACAUUAUGAGCAGAGAUUUAUCCACAGUGCAGCAAAAUUGCCGUGGUUCAUUUGUUUGAUUACUACAUAACAUUUCAUUAUGUGACUCUACCUUUAAUUCAUUAUAGACAUUUGUUCCCAGGUUUUAAUAUUAUGAAGAUUCUUAUACAUAUCCCCUGCUGUGUAUGUGCAAGAACCCAUCUCAGCUGUCCGUCUAUCAGUGGAAUUGCUAGGUAUUAGUGCACAUAAAGGCCAAACUCUGGAAGACAAUAGCAAACUGUUUUCCAAAGUGAUUGCACUAACUUGCACUCCUUCCCCCACCCCCCAUUUGGUCUCUAUCCUUAGACAACACUCAAACCAGCAGAAUAUAGGAAAACUUAAUGAAAUGAUUUAAUAUGACACAUGUGUAAAUUGGGUGACCAAUGGAAUUGAAGUUUCAAGAUAUACCUCUCAGCGAUGAGGAGAAAGUGGUAAAUGGAUUUGUCCCCCUCUCAACUGAUAGUCACUGGAGAUGCAUCUAGAUAGAUGUUUGCAUUUCUCUCCCUCCACUCCUGUUUUCUUAAUUUUGAAACUGCUUUAUUGUGUGAGUAUCUUGGGUUCCUCUCCAUCAUAGAGUCUGUAGAAAUAUUCUAACCUUUUAUUCCUUGACAAAACUGGAUACCACUCCCUACAAUUCUUUUGUUCUGCACAAAAAAGCAUUAACCCCACCCUCCCACCCACCUUUUCCAAUAGUUGUUUGUCCUUCCUUCUCUGUCAAUUGUCCUCUGUCCAAAGGGUGGCUUUGUGGUUAGAGGCCAGAGAUACCAAAUUAAUUUAUUAUUCUGCAUCCAGAGCUCUUACUUGGGCCUUUAGGUUUGUUAAAAACAUUUCCUGCUGGACACAAAUUGGUGUGAUUUAUUUUAUAGCUAAUCCAAGUAGAGUUGGGCUGUUAGUGUCCUAUUUGUGUCCAAUCUGUCUAAUACUGGGACAGCCAUCCCUGAAAAUGGAUGGUCUCGAGCAGCAGCUGUGAUAGGCCAGUGGCCACUGCCCUCCGCCUCCACUUAGACCCUUCAAUAUUCUUCUGCAUAUCAGUCCACCCAGACAGCAGAGAAAUCUGCCCCCCCCAACCCCAGCAGGUGUGAGGGUCACCUCAGGUUUCCUGGCAGCCCAGUAUUCAGUAUGCUGCUCCUGCCUGCCACUGAGUCUCCUACACUGAGGCAGCCUUAUCAGAUAGCAAGUUUCAUUAUGUGCUGUCCACCAGGGACUCUACUAAAAGCAAUAAAUUCAUUUCACUGUGCUAGUCUCUGGACUAUUAAAGCAUUUUAGUCCUGUUUCUCCUUUAACCUCCCAGGAGCCAAAUAUUCACUCUGACAAAUGCUAUUCAUUACAAAGUUAAGAUGACUUUGACUCUGAUUCUCUCCCAUAUAAUACAAUGAAGACGCUUUGUCCUGGAUUCAUCUACAGCCUGACGGUAUUAGGGAUAAAAAACAUGCCAAGGCAGGCAAUCUUUUCUCCAAAAUGGAUUGAAAUUACCUCUAGCUAGCUAUGCCUUGCUUAGAUAAAGAGUAACUGGGAAAAAAAAAAAGUUUUCUGCUCAUUUUUAAUAUCCUGACCAAUACAUUGCUCAAGCGUGGACAAUCAGAAAAAAAUAAAGUAGAAAAAUGAAACAUCACUGGAAUGUAAAAAAGAUCAAAUCCCUUUCACUUCUAUUUAAACCACAGAUAUUUCCUCCUGCCUUUUCUCCCCAGGCUGAGAGUUAGCAAAUGAACAGGGGAAUUUGGUGGAGUUAUGGAACAUCUCCAGAGCGGGACAUAGGUAAGAGCUUUCUAAGAUCUUCCUGAUUAAUUAAUCUGAGCAGAUAUUAUAGCUAUAUUUGAUUUAUCAUCAGAGGCAGCUGUGAGUGCAAACCAUGCCUGUAACACAUACCAGCACUGGGUAAAUUUUUUAACCUUGUGUGGGGGCCUCUUUCUUCAUCUACAAAAUGGGAGAAAUAGUACCUCCAUUAUAGGUUUAUCGUCAGGACUAAAUGAAAUAGCAUACACAAAUCUCCUAGCCUGGCACAUAACAUAUACAGUAAGAAAAAUUGAAUAUUUAUUUCCUUUUCUUUAUCCUCCCUCCUCUGUGAAGAGCUAGAAAGAGAGGCAGGAGAGGAGAAGAUGAAGAACACAGAGGUAGAUUGUUUUGAGUCUCAGAAAGAAAGCUUUGUCCCAUGAUUUGACUUCAGAGUAUGAGAUCUCUCUUCUGCCGACACUGACGGAAUUAAACUGAAUAACCACAGAAAAUCCGAUCACUGUGUUUGAUGUAGGAAUGAGGUUGCAGAUAGUCCAGAUAAAAAGUGCUGGAGGAAUUUCUUUGUGGUCGGAAGCUGGAAGAAAGCUCUGCAUCCCAUGAGACCAGGCUGGCUCUGGUCUUAAAUGUAACUGAUCACUCUGCCCUCUUUAUGUAUCCUGGGCUUUUAUGACUGUUUGGGGUACCAACUUCCUGCUGAGUUUCAUCCUAACCCUUCCCUUCAUUUCCUUUCUCUUUCACACACCACUCUUCUUGAUUUCCUUGCUCGUUUUCUGCAUGGUUGUAUGCUAGGUACUUUUGCAAACUACCUUGUACCCUAUCUAAUUAAUUUGUUGAUUAAUUAAAACUCGGCUCUCUCCUGCUUUUCUCCCCACAAAUCCACACCAGGCUUUUCCUUUGCAUGCCUGAUGGGAACACUGGGGGCCUGUCAAGUUCUUACAGCUAAAGGCCGGCUGGCCUCAGAACAAAGGGAGGCUUUGUUGCCUCCCCAGUGGUGGCCAGCCCCAUCCCAGAAUAAGGAGAGAUUUGGGCUGAACUUUCCAGAACACUGGAAAAAGCUCUCUCUCCGCCAAGAAAAUAGAAGCCAAAUCAUUCAUCCUCUCACUCAUCCAUUCAAUUAGAGACAUUGCUUUACGAAUAAUCAUUUUUCUAAAAAUGUUCCCAUCCAUUCUCUUUUAGUAGAGUAACUUUAAAAUACCUGAUAUUGUCGGGAGUUUCCAUUGUGGUGCAGCAGAAACGAAUCCGACUAGUAUUCAUGAGGAUGUGGGUUCGAUCCCUGGCCUCACUCAGUGGGUCGGGGAUCUGGUGUCACCGUGAGCUGUGGCAUAGGUUGAAGACACAGCUUGGAUCCAGCAUUGCUGUGGCUGUGACAUAGGCUGGCAGGCAGCUGUAGCUCCGAUUUGACCCCUGCUUAGGAACUUCCAUAUGUCAUGGGUGAGGCCC